GUUGACCUCGGAUCAGGUAGGAAUACCCGCUGAACUUAAGCAUAUCAAGUCGGGAGGAAAA
rnacentral:rRNA from 1 species